CAGAAAAUAAUAUAGUUUAAGUAUGCAAAUUUUGGAGAUUUGUAGGGAUAAUAUCUUUUCUGA
rnacentral:tRNA from 1 species